GACCAUGGAAGUAUUAUAUUGACAGGAACUACUACGACCCGACUUCAAACGGUUCAUCUGCGAUGCCGCGCCCAAUUUAAUGACAUGUUAAUUAACUUGAAACAUGGCACUAUAUUAAUACACCAGCGUGUGGCACAUUGCGAUAAAGUCAUGUGUCGGUUGUUUCCGGGGUACGGAAAUGCACGAAGAAAGCGGAUGUUGUCAUAAAUCCUAAGGAAACAGUUUAUACACACGUGUAUGAAUGAAUGUGAACGAGACAUACAAUCAUUAAUUCCAAACAAACACUUUGACAAUGGAUGAAUUUGAGACAGAUAAUAUACCCGAUGAUUUUUUUUCCUCACAUUUUGAAAGUGAGAUAUAUUGUUCGUGUAAAUCGGAUGAUUCGUCACAUCUUAUCGAAUGUAAA
rnacentral:lncRNA from 1 species